AGAGUUUGAUCAUGGCUCAGGAUGAACGCCGGCGGUGUGCCUAAUACAUGCAAGUCGAACGCGUUGGCCCAACUGAUUGAACGUGCUUGCACGGACUUGACGUUGGUUUACCAGCGAGUGGCGGACGGGUGAGUAACACGUAGGUAACCUGCCCCAAAGCGGGGGAUAACAUUUGGAAACAGAUGCUAAUACCGCAUAACAAUUUGAAUCGCAUGAUUCAAAUUUAAAAGAUGGUUUCGGCUAUCACUUUGGGAUGGACCUGCGGCGCAUUAGCUUGUUGGUAGGGUAACGGCCUACCAAGGCUGUGAUGCGUAGCCGAGUUGAGAGACUGAUCGGCCACAAUGGAACUGAGACACGGUCCAUACUCCUACGGGAGGCAGCAGUAGGGAAUCUUCCACAAUGGGCGCAAGCCUGAUGGAGCAACACCGCGUGAGUGAAGAAGGGUUUCGGCUCGUAAAGCUCUGUUGUUAGAGAAGAACGUGCGUGAGAGCAACUGUUCACGCAGUGACGGUAUCUAACCAGAAAGUCACGGCUAACUACGUGCCAGCAGCCGCGGUAAUACGUAGGUGGCAAGCGUUAUCCGGAUUUAUUGGGCGUAAAGCGAGCGCAGGCGGUUCGAUAAGUCUGAUGUGAAAGCCUUUGGCUUAACCAAAGAAGUGCAUCGGAAACUGUCAGACUUGAGUGCAGAAGAGGACAGUGGAACUCCAUGUGUAGCGGUGGAAUGCGUAGAUAUAUGGAAGAACACCAGUGGCGAAGGCGGCUGUCUGGUCUGCAACUGACGCUGAGGCUCGAAAGCAUGGGUAGCGAACAGGAUUAGAUACCCUGGUAGUCCAUGCCGUAAACGAUGAGUGCUAGGUGUUGGAGGGUUUCCGCCCUUCAGUGCCGCAGCU
rnacentral:rRNA from 1 species